AGAGUUUGAUCAUGGCUCAGGAUGAACGCUAGCGACAGGCUUAACACAUGCAAGUCGAGGGGCAGCAUGAUUUGUAGCAAUACAGAUUGAUGGCGACCGGCGCACGGGUGAGUAACGCGUAUGCAACUUACCUAUCAGAGGGGGAUAGCCCGGCGAAAGUCGGAUUAAUACCCCAUAAAACAGGGGUCCCGCAUGGGAAUAUUUGUUAAAGAUUCAUCGCUGAUAGAUAGGCAUGCGUUCCAUUAGGCAGUUGGCGGGGUAACGGCCCACCAAACCGACGAUGGAUAGGGGUUCUGAGAGGAAGGUCCCCCACAUUGGUACUGAGACACGGACCAAACUCCUACGGGAGGCAGCAGUGAGGAAUAUUGGUCAAUGGCCGAGAGGCUGAACCAGCCAAGUCGCGUGAAGGAAGAAGGAUCUAUGGUUUGUAAACUUCUUUUAUAGGGGAAUAAAGUGGAGGACGUGUCCUUUUUUGUAUGUACCCUAUGAAUAAGCAUCGGCUGACUCCGUGCCAGCAGCCGCGGUAAUACGGAGGAUGCGAGCGUUAUCCGGAUUUAUUGGGUUUAAAGGGUGCGUAGGUGGUGAUUUAAGUCAGCGGUGAAAGUUUGUGGCUCAACCAUAAAAUUGCCGUUGAAACUGGGUUACUUGAGUGUGUUUGAGGUAGGCGGAAUGCGUGGUGUAGCGGUGAAAUGCAUAGAUAUCACGCAGAACUCCGAUUGCGAAGGCAGCUUACUAAACCAUAACUGACACUGAAGCACGAAAGCGUGGGGAUCAAACAGGAUUAGAUACCCUGGUAGUCCACGCAGUAAGCGAUGAUUACUAGGAGUUUGCGAUACAAUGUAAGCUCUACAGCGAAAGCGUUAAGUAAUCCACCUGGGGAGUACGCCGGCAACGGUGAAACUCAAAGGAAUUGACGGGGGCCCGCACAAGCGGAGGAACAUGUGGUUUAAUUCGAUGAUACGCGAGGAACCUUACCCGGGUUUGAACGUAGUCUGACCGGAGUGGAAACACUCUUUCUAGCAAUAGCAGAUUACGAGGUGCUGCAUGGUUGUCGUCAGCUCGUGCCGUGAGGUGUCGGCUUAAGUGCCAUAACGAGCGCAACCCUUAUCACUAGUUACUAACAGGUGAAGCUGAGGACUCUGGUGAGACUGCCAGCGUAAGCUGUGAGGAAGGUGGGGAUGACGUCAAAUCAGCACGGCCCUUACAUCCGGGGCGACACACGUGUUACAAUGGCAUGGACAAAGGGCAGCUACCUGGUGACAGGAUGCUAAUCUCCAAACCAUGUCUCAGUUCGGAUCGGAGUCUGCAACUCGACUCUGUGAAGCUGGAUUCGCUAGUAAUCGCGCAUCAGCCAUGGCGCGGUGAAUACGUUCCCGGGCCUUGUACACACCGCCCGUCAAGCCAUGGGAGCCGGGGGUACCUGAAGUCCGUAACCGCAAGGAUCGGCCUAGGGUAAAACUGGUGACCGGGGCUAAGUCGUAACAAGGUA
rnacentral:rRNA from 1 species